rnacentral:rRNA from 1 species
GAUGAACGCUGGCGGCGUGCCUAAUACAUGCAAGUCGAGCGAACAGACGAGGAGCUUACUCCCGUGAGGUUAGGGACGGACGGGGGAGGAACACGUGGAUAACCUAUCGAUAAGACUAAGAUAACGUCGUGAAACCGGAGCUAAUACCGGAUAAGAUAUAGAACCGAAGGGUCCAAUAGUGAAAGACGGGUUUGCUGGCACGUAUAGAUGCUACCACGCCGCAUUAGCUAGUUGGUAAGGUAACGGCUUACCAAGGCAACGAUGCGUAGCCGACCUCAGAGGGUGAUCCGCCACACUGGAACUGAGACACGGUCCAGACUCCUACGGGAGGCCGCAGUAGGGAAUCUUCCGCAAUGGGCGAAUGCCUGACGGAGCACCGCCGCGUGAGUGAUGAUGGUCCUCGGAUCCUAAAGCUCUGUUAUUAGGGAAGAACUAAUGUGUAAGUACCUAUGCACGUCUUGACGGUACCCAGUCAAAAAGCCCCGGCUAACUCCGUG